UACGUAGGUGGCAAGCGUUGUCCGGAUUUACUGGGCGUAAAGAGCGCGCAGGCGGUCGUCCAAGUCGCGUGUGAAAGCCCCCGGCUCAACUGGGGAGGGUCACGCGAUACUGGUCGACUCGAAGGCAGGAGAGGGUAGUGGAAUUCCCGGUGUAGUGGUGAAAUGCGUAGAUAUCUGGAGGAAUACCGGUGGCGAAGGCGGCAUCCUGGACCGACAUUGACGCUGAGGAGCGAAAGCCAGGGGAGCAAACGGG
rnacentral:rRNA from 1 species